GACGAACGCUGGCGGCGUGCUUAACACAUGCAAGUCGAACGGAAAGGCCCUGCUUUUGUGGGGUGCUCGAGUGGCGAACGGGUGAGUAACACGUGAGUAACCUGCCCUUGACUUUGGGAUAACUUCAGGAAACUGGGGCUAAUACCGGAUAGGAGCUCCUGCUGCAUGGUGGGGGUUGGAAAGUUUCGGCGGUUGGGGAUGGACUCGCGGCUUAUCAGCUUGUUGGUGGGGUAGUGGCUUACCAAGGCUUUGACGGGUAGCCGGCCUGAGAGGGUGACCGGCCACAUUGGGACUGAGAUACGGCCCAGACUACUACGGGAGACAGCAGUGGAGAAUAUUGCACAAUGGGCGGAAGCCUGAUGCAGCAACGCCGCGUGCGGGAUGACGGCCUUCGGGUUGUAAACCGCUUUCGCCUGUGACGAAGCGUGAGUGACGGUAAUGGGUAAAGAAGCACCGGCUAACUACGU
rnacentral:rRNA from 1 species